rnacentral:tRNA from 1 species
AAAGGCUUAGUUAAAUCAAUAACAUUAAUUUGUCAAAUUAAAAUUACCUUACAGUAACCUUUA